GGCCUAGAGUGUCAGCUACUAAUCACCACCUCAUACACCGGGCCCCUGCUCUCCUGCCUGGCUGACCCCGUCCCACUGCCUUGCUGGAGGAAGCGCGGGAGGCCAAGGGAAUGGUACCAUUGCCCAUUUUGUGGGGCUGGGUGCUCAUGGCUACCACGAGAACAGAUGCCUCAGCAAGCUUGGUGGAGCAAUGGCCCAGGUGGGUCCUGGUACCUCGUGGACAAGCUAAAACCCUGCACUGCAUCCUGAGGGAUUCGCAGUACCCCUGGAUGAGCUGGUACCAACAGGAUCUCCGGGGACAACUGGAGCUGCUGGCCACCCUGCGGAGCUCUGGGGAUAAGGAGGUCGUACCCCGUCCUGGAGCAGACUACCAGCUGAUGCGGGUCAACAGCACGGAGCUGAGACUGCAUGUGGCCAACGUGACUCAGGGCAGAACCCUGUAUUGCACCUGCAGCAAAGACACAGCGAGACACCCUCCUUGGAUCAAUGAAUAAAAACAUCUCAGACUGGCAACCACAGACCCAACCUCCCCCGCCGCCCUGACAGCCCUGCUAAGCCUGCUUCCUCUCCCCCCAGAGCCUUCCUGGCUGCCUCUUUUCUACAAGCAGACUCUUUUCUUCCUG